rnacentral:rRNA from 1 species
CCUACGGGGGGCAGCAGUGAGGAAUAUUGGUCAAUGGGCGGGAGCCUGAACCAGCCAAGCCGCGUGAGGGAAGAAGGUCCAGCGUAUCGUAAACCUCUUUUGUCAGGGAACAAAGGCGGGGACUAGUCCCCGGCUGAGGGUACCUGACGAAAAAGCAUCGGCUAACUCCGUGCCAGCAGCCGCGGUAAUACGGAGGAUGCGAGCGUUAUCCGGAUUUAUUGGGUUAAAGGGGUGCGCAGGCGGCCUGUUAAGUCAGCGGUAAAAGCCCGGGGCUAAACCCCGGCGAGCCGUUGAAACUGGCGGGCUGGAGUGGGAGAGAAGUACGCGGAAUGCGCGGUGUAGCGGUGAAAUGCUUAGAGAUCGCGCAGAACCCCGAUUGCGAAGGCAGCGUACCGGCUCCACACUGACGCUGAGGCACGAAAGCGUGGGUAUCGAACAGGAUUAGAUACCCGUGUAGUC